GGUCAUUUGGAGCGAAAGGGUUCCUAGCGAAGCAGAGCUCUGCGCACUUGAGUUCCGGUCCGGUUUCCCGCGGAGUUCCCCGCUUGGCGCUUGCUUGCGCGUCUUGGAGUACUGGUCGGGUUUCACCCCCAUCAGUUGGCGCUGUCUGUGAUUCAAAGAUACUCACGACAAAAGCUCCUCGACUUUUUCGAAAAAAGUGAUCGACUUUUUUCCAAGUCGCCAGCUAGGGAGUCUCGCGAGGAAAUCAGCCAGCAAGGGAUC
rnacentral:lncRNA from 1 species